rnacentral:rRNA from 1 species
GUGUCAGCCGCCGCGGUAAUACGAGAGGUCCAAACGUUAUUCGGAAUCACUGGGCUUACAGAGUUCGUAGGCGGUACGGAAAGUGGGGUGUGAAAGCCCUCGGCUCAACCGAGGAACUGCGCUCCAAACUACCGUGCUAGAGGAAGAUAGAGGUGAGCAGAACUGAUGGUGGAGCGGUGAAAUGCGUUGAUAUCAUCAGGAAUACCGGAGGCGAAGGCGGCUCACUGGGUCUUUUCUGACGCUGAGGAACGAAAGCUAGGGGAGCAAACGGGAUUAGAAACCCCAGUAGUCC